AAAGUCGUAACAAGGUUUCCGUAGGUGAACCUGCGGAAGGAUCAUUAACGAAUCCAAUCUUACCUGCCUUAGCGGUUCAAUUGAUGCUGUCUUCGGGGUUGGCGCUUGCGCCAUUAAAUCACUAGUGGGAAACGGAUCACGGUGUAAUGCCAUGGUUCGGGUGGGCCCCGUUUGAGUUUUACUUCCCACGCGAGUUUUCUAUCAUGCCUAAACGUAUCAAUGACCUUUGACUAUAUGUCAAAGUGAAUGCCUUAAAAGCGAACAACUUUUAACGGUGGAUCUCUUGGCUCGUGCAUCGAUGAAGAACGCAGCAAACUGCGAUAAGUAAUGUGAAUUGCAGAAUUUAGUGAAUCAUCGAAUCUUUGAACGCAAAUGGCGCUCCUGGGUCCUCCCAGGAGCACGUCUGUCUGAGCGUCGUUUCUCACAUCUAACACACAUGUAUGUGUGUGUUGGGCAAUGAGGUGUCCUUUCUAAGAUACAGCUGUGUCAUACAUGGGUGUAUGAAGAUGAUUGGUCCCUUGAAGUUGAGCAAUCCCCGGGUUGGGUGCCCCGUUUAGCGGGUCAACUCCUCGGCGUGAUAGUAACAUAACACGUCUGAGAAGUGGACCAUAAACACGUUACUCGAGUGGUUACUUCAACGUACGGCGGUGAAGGAUGCGACGGAUGCGCCAACACAUGUGCGUAGACCAACCAAGACCUCAGAUCAGGCGAGACUAC
rnacentral:rRNA from 1 species